UACGUAGGGGGCAAGCGUUGUCCGGAAUUAUUGGGCGUAAAGCGCGCGCAGGCGGUCUUUUAAGUCUGGUGUUUAAGUGCGGGGCUCAACCCCGUGACGCACUGGAAACUGGAGGGCUUGAGUGCAGAAGAGGAGAGCGGAAUUCCACGUGUAGCGGUGAAAUGCGUAGAGAUGUGGAGGAACACCAGUGGCGAAGGCGGCUCUCUGGCCUGUAACUGACGCUGAGGCGCGAAAGCGUGGGGAGCAAACAGG
rnacentral:rRNA from 1 species